rnacentral:rRNA from 1 species
GGGCUAAUACCGGAUGCUUGAUUGAACCGCAUGGUUCAAUCAUAAAAGGUGGCUUUUAGCUACCACUUGCAGAUGGACCCGCGGCGCAUUAGCUAGUUGGUGAGGUAACGGCUCACCAAGGCGACGAUGCGUAGCCGACCUGAGAGGGUGAUCGGCCACACUGGGACUGAGACACGGCCCAGACUCCUACGGGAGGCAGCAGUAGGGAAUCUUCCGCAAUGGACGAAAGUCUGACGGAGCAACGCCGCGUGARUGAUGAAGGUUUUCGGAUCGUAAAACUCUGUUGUUAGGGAAGAACAAGUACCGUUCGAAUAGGGCGGCACCUUGACGGUACCUAACCAGAAAGCCACGGCUAACUACGUGCCAGCAGCCGCGGUAAUACGUAGGUGGCAAGCGUUGUCCGGAAUUAUUGGGCGUAAAGCGCGCGCAGGCGGUUUCUUAAGUCUGAUGUGAAAGCCCCCGGCUCAACCGGGGAGGGUCAUUGGAAACUGGGGGAACUUGAGUGCAGAAGAGGAGAGUGGAAUUCCACGUGUAGCGGGUGAAAUGCGUAGAGAUGUGGAGGAACACCAGUGGCGAAGGCGACUCUCUGGUCUGUAACUGACGCUGAGGCGCGAAAGCGUGGGGAGCGAACAGGAUUAGAUACCCUGGUAGUCCACGCCGUAUACGAUGAGUGCUAAGUGUUAGAGGGUUUCCGCCCUUUAGUGCUGCAGCAAACGCAUUAAGCACUCCGCCUGGGGAGUACGGUCGCAAGACUGAAACUCAAAGGAAUUGACGGGGGCCCGCACAAGCGGUGGAGCAUGUGGUUUAAUUCGAAGCAACGCGAAGAACCUUACCAGGUCUUGACAUCCUCUGACAACCCUAGAGAUAGGGCUUCCCCUUCGGGGGCAGAGUGACAGGUGGUGCAUGGUUGUCGUCAGCUCGUGUCGUGAGAUGUUGGGUUAAGUCCCGCAACGAGCGCAACCCUUGAUCUUAGUUGCCAGCAUUCAGUUGGGCACUCUAAGGUGACUGCCGGUGACAAACCGGAGGAAGGUGGGGAUGACGUCAAAUCAUCAUGCCCCUUAUGACCUGGGCUACACACGUGCUACAAUGGGCAGAACAAAGGGCAGCGAAGCCGCGAGGCUAAGCCAAUCCCACAAAUCUGUUCUCAGUUCGGAUCGCAGUCUGCAACUCGACUGCGUGAAGCUGGAAUCGCUAGUAAUCGCGGAUCAGCAUGCCGCGGUGAAUA